CUUCCCAAGGGGAAGGAUGCACAGGCGUGUAUAAAGGUCCUCAAGAAUUCAGCCGCUCGCUCAUUUGUUCAUUGACAACUCCAGUUGACUUCUCUCUCUGCUUAAGAAGGAUUCCAGAUGGGUGUUUAAAUUAAUUUCAGGAAGUAGUUAUCACCCCUAAUGUGUUUGUUUCUUCUCCACCAAGAUGGCUUGUGAUUGUUGUGGUUCAUCCGAUGAGUGAACAAUCAUCUGUUGUGUCCCUUCCAGCAACGGCUGUGGUGGCAGCGGUGGCUCCUGCUGCCCCCCUUGUUGCUGCACUCCCUGCCACUGCACCCCCAGCUGCUGUGCCCCUUGCUGUUCCCUGCUACGGCAGCCCCAAGGCUUGCUGCUCGCCUGCCUGCUGUCAGACUAAGUGCUAUAAGAGAUGCUGCUAAAACAUCUCCAGAAUUACGGGCAAGUCUAGAAUCUUCUAGAAGUGGAAGAACAUCUCCACCACCACCACCACCAUGGGUCAUUUUACCACUGUGAAUUAAUGACCUAAGACUGCAGCCCUAAGCACAUUUUCCAGGGAGUGAGCUCCCUUGAGCUCAGUGGGACUUACUUCUGAGUCGACAUGCCGAGCCUUGCACCACAAAGCUUCAAAGCACCCUCCUUCACUCCGUUGAUGGAUUCCUCUCUUCUUUCAUCCAACAAAAUAUAAGUGAAAGUUGUAUAGAUGGUGUUCUUAUAUUUGUCUUGGUGUCCAGGGUCCUUUCUCCAAUAAAGACCUAUAAUCAUGGAAGUUGAUAUUCUUGUUUUUUUCAUUAAGCUUUUACUGCAAUCAUGAGCAUUCCACACAACUGUAUUUCUACAGAACGACAGGCUUGUUUCUUAGUGUGGUGGUGUUGAAGACGCUGGCAUCACCAGGCCUACCUCCACUGGCUCCUGAAGCUUCUACUGUCACCUUGAGAGUCCUCGUCUCUGUCACCUCCCUCUCCGUCAUUCCACCAUGGCCAGACAUUAGUCCUUCUCCAUCUCUUUCCAGCCUUCCUGAAUGGUGCUGCAUCUUCUUCACCUCCUGCAUCCCUUCCUGCACUUUCAUCACAUUGCAUUCAACUCGCUUCCUGUAUGCCUGUGAAACUGACCCGCUGUGGAAUGAAGGAAUGUGCCUAGGGAGAAUGUACAGCUGGUAUAGCACAGUGGGGAGAAAAGCCUGGCUGGGAGUCCAGAGUCUGAACAUGAACCGGAAGAUGCUGUAGUGGGAACCGAGUAACGUGCCUUGAUGGUUCAUUGAGAAUUUUCCAUUCUUGGGUGGAGCCUCACAUGUCCUUGGAGAAAAAUGUUCUGGAUAGUAUAUAUAAGGCUGUUCCUGUCCCAGAGAUCUAUACUCCUACCCUUGGGUUCAUCAGAAUCACCAGCUUCCACCUGUGAACAAGCUUUACAUCCACUCCACAAAGAUGAGCUGUUCUUGCUGUUCUAACUGUGGCUGCUGUGGGCGUAGCAGUACCAGGAUCAUAUACUGUAGCAUGCCAUCCCAGCCCUGCUGUUGCCCCUGCUACACCCCCAGGCAAUCCUGCUGCUGCUCCCCAUGUUGCAGUUCCACGCAGUCCUACUACGCUCCCACGAAGGCAACAGGCUGUGCUCAGAUGCAACAGAACUACAUGCCAAGCAAGAAAUGUUGCUAAGGGAGCCACCAGCCUGCUGGAAUCGCCAAAGGAACAUCUGCCUGAUGGGAUCAACGCCAUCACUGAUCAUGCUGAAUUCAAGGCCUGCUGCUUGAUUUCUCUGCCCAUGUGUCUCACCAAGCGAAAUGUCCCAACCAGUGGUGGCUGGGGGCUCCAUGUCAGUGGCACAGCGGAAGACGUUCCGGGUUUUAGUCCAGACUUUCAAGGGGCUGUCUAAGAGGCUGAACCUAUUGGUUUCAGCACCUUGGAGAGCUCCUGGGAAGUUUUGACUAAAGCCCAGAACGGAUUUCACUAUCCCUCUGAUAUGGAGCCACUGACUGCCACUGGCCCCAACCUCACCCUAGCUCUUUUACUUUCCUGCAGAUUAACUUUCCCUUUGCUUUAAAUGAUGAGAUCCUUCUACAGGGAUGGAAGAAUGAAUCUGAGCAAACUGCAUUUCGAGUCCAUUGAAUGAUAUCUUUCAUUGCUUUCUUGGGUGAUGGAGCAAAUUGCUGUAUUCAGACUUCUUAAUGACCCCUUUGCUUGCUUACUCUGUAUACACAGAAUGCAAUAAAAACAAGACUUUCUGCAA